AACGAAGUCAGAUUGCUAAGACAGCUAGGAUGUUGGCUUGGAAGCAGCCAUUCAUUUAAAGAGUGCGUAACAGCUCACUAGUCGAGGAGUUUGGCGUGGAUAAUAAUCGGGCAUCAAGCAAUUUACCGAAGCUAUGGGAUCAGUAAUGAUCGGUAGGGGAGCAUUCCACUCCGCGUCGAAGGUGAAGCGUGAGCUUUGCUGGAGCGUGUGGAAAAGCAAAUGUAGGUAUAAGUAACGAUAAAGGGGGUGAGAAACCCCCUCGCCGAAAGACUAAGGUUUCCUGAUCAACGCUAAUCGGAUCAGGGUUAGUCGGGUCCUAAGGCUCAGCCGAACGGUGAGGCCGAUGGCAGAACAGGUUAAUAUUCCUGUACUACCUUAAAGAGUGACGUGGAGACGGAGGAGUGACAGCGCCGCGGACUGACGGAAUAGUCCGUUGAAGGGUGUAGAUGUUGAUUAUCCCAGGCAAAUCCGGGAUAAGAGUCGAACCUGACAGUAUACCAAUUUCCUCGGAAAACGGUAAUAGUGCGUGUAAACAUACUCCC
rnacentral:rRNA from 1 species